rnacentral:rRNA from 1 species
UGGGGAAUAUUGCACAAUGGAGGGAACUCUUAUGCAGCGACGCCGCGUGAGUGAUGAAGGAAUUCGUUUCGUAAAACUCUGUUCUAUGGGACGAAAAGGACUGUACCAUAGGAGAAAGCUCCGGCUAAAUACGUGCCAGCAGCCGCGGUAAUACGUAUGGAGCGAGCGUUGUCCGGAAUUAUUGGGCGUAAAGGGUGCGCAGGCGGCUUUACAAGUUGGAUGUGAAAUAUUGUGGCUCAACCACAAACGUGCAUCCAAAACUGCAAAGCUUGAGUUAAGGGGAGGUAAGUGGAAUUCCUGGUGUAGCGGUGGAAUGCGUAGAUAUCAGGAGGAAUACCGGUGGCGAAGGCGACUUACUGGACUUAAACUGACGCUCAGGCACGAAAGCGUGGGGAGCAAACAGG